rnacentral:rRNA from 1 species
UACAGAGGGUGCGAGCGUUAAUCGGAAUUACUGGGCGUAAAGCGCGCGUAGGCGGCUUUGCAAGUCGAGUGUGAAAUCCCCAGGCUUAACCUGGGAACUGCAUUCGAGACUGCAUAGCUAGAGUAUGGGAGAGGGAAGUGGAAUUUCAGGUGUAGCGGUGAAAUGCGUAGAUAUCUGAAGGAACAUCAGUGGCGAAAGCGGCUCUCUAGUACGGUACUGACGCUGAGACGCGAAAGCGUGGGGAGCGAACAGG